UAUUAAGGAAGCAGGGAGAACCCUCCCCCCUAUUUCCCAGCACCGUCUCGGGCUGGUUGGGUACAUUAGGAGGACUGCCGUUGCCAACACGGAGGAAGGAACGGGCAACGGUAGGUCAGUAUGCCCCGAAUGUGCUGGGCUACACGCGGGCUACAAUGGUCGAGACAAUGGGAUGCCACCCCGAGAGGGGGCGGUAAUCUCCUAAACUCGGUCGUAGUUCGGAUUGAGGGCUGAAACUCGCCCUCAUGAAGCUGGAUUCGGUAGUAAUCGCGGUCAGCAGCGCGCCGU
rnacentral:rRNA from 1 species